AUUGAACGCUGGCGGCAGGCUUAACACAUGCAAGUCGAGCGGGGGAAGGUAGCUUGCUACCGGACCUAGCGGCGGACGGGUGAGUAAUGCUUAGGAAUCUGCCUAUUAGUGGGGGACAACAUCCCGAAAGGGAUGCUAAUACCGCAUACGUCCUACACGAGAAAGCAGGGGAUCUUCGGACCUUGCGCUAAUAGAUGAGCCUAAGUCGGAUUAGCUAGUGGGUGGGGUAAAGGCCUACCAAGGCGACGAUCUGUAGCGGGUCUGAGAGGAUGAUCCGCCACACUGGGACUGAGACACGGCCCAGACUCCUGCGGGAGGCAGCAGUGGGGAAUAUUGGACAAUGGGGGGAACCCUGAUCCAGCCAUGCCGCGUGUGUGAAGAAGGCCUUAUGGUUGUAAAGCACUUUAAGCGAGGAGGAGGCUACUCUAGUUAAUACCUAGGGAUAGUGGACGUUACUCGCAGAAUAAGCACCGGCUAACUCUGUGCCAGCCGCCGCAGUAA
rnacentral:rRNA from 1 species